rnacentral:misc_RNA from 1 species
CACAGGACUACACGCUCAAGCAUAAGUGUGGAGGAAGGCGUCUUAAUCACCUCUUUUCUUUUCGCUCAUGCUCAGGCAUCAGAGCUGCAAUAAUCGGCGCUGAGCACGACAGCGGUCAUGGAUGCGGCUGGUGCUCAAGAGGACUCGGGCACAAUUCCAUUACAGCUCGAUAUUGGCUACGUAGAUGUGCCACGUGAUGCGUGCUUUUCCUGGCUGCAGCGCAAGUACGCCAACAUCAAGCCUGUAGUGGAGACGUCUUCUGCAGGCUCGAAAGGAAAGCAGCUGCGCAUUGAUUCAGCCCUCCUGCAGCGCCUCGAGAACGACGUAGUGGCCUGCGAUGAGCUGCGUUGGCGGGCCUUUUCCUUCCCGUCGCACCCGAUUCAUCCUCUGAACGCCAGCUACCGGCAUGAUCCUGGCAGGAAUGCUGGCACGCCAGCCACGGCGGUCGAGAUGCAUCGCGCAAAGCAGUAUUCCUCGAACGGUGCGGAGCACACCACAAACGGAGCGAAAGGGCCCUGCACCCUCGUCAUCAGCACCCGGGCGGAUAGUGAGGCGAGGAGGCGCGCCAAGAAGGAAACGCGCAAGGCAAAGGACAGCUCCGCGGCUGCCAUAGUGGCCACCAGCGGUGGCCCCACGCCAAAAGUGGAGGAUCUGCUGGAAAAUGCCGUCCGGAAGGAGAAGCAGGCAUACUGGUGCCGCGUUCUGGGCGAGGAAAACGUCGACCACGAAACUCCCAGCUCGUCCGCCGGGGCAGAGCGGUGGAUCCCACGCAGCUGGCGACCACUCCUGGGAGGCUAUGUGAGCGCGCCAAGCCGCAUCGAUCAGGCGCGCUUCCUCAUAUUUCCGCAGUCGGGGCACCCCGUCGUGGAUACGCGUGACCCAAAAGCGCUCUCCAGCGCUCCUGGCAAGUCGCUGGAAAGCCCGCAGAGUGUGCCGUACUACGUGCGCGGCAGCGCGAGCUGGGAGGUGGAAGAAAACAACCCGGCUGCGGGAGCCGCAGGGCCGGCGCGUGCAACUUGUGAUGAACCGAGCGAUGAAUCAGCGACGCGGGGGGGGCUGCAUCACAGCCUCACCUAUGCGCUCAUCAACCCGGCGACGGCACCAGAGCACCGCAACUGGGCGGACACGGUGGAAGUCUCUGUCGCUCACCAGCAGGCCCGCACGGAGCGUCAGUAUGCACCUGAAAGGGCGAAGGUGCAGCGGGUGACGCUGCUGGAGGACUUGGUCUCCGUCAAGACGAGCCAAGGCAACCCACGCCACAGCACCCUCAUUUCCGCGACCCGCGCCACGGUGCUGCACAGUGGCAUGAAGCACCAGCGCGCGGUCUCCGCACCCUCCUCCAUUUCAAAGAAGUAUUCCAAGAAGGCGAUGGCGUCAGCGGGCCCAGACGAUGCAUUAUUCCAGCUGCGUAUCGAGGACGUCUACGACAGCAGUGUGCAGCACUUUGCGCUUCCCGGGAUCUGGCAGCGUUGGGUGCGACCUGCUGCAGCCAGAGUCUUCACGAGCGAAUCUGACGGAGCGACUGGCUCGCACUCGCUCGACGAUGCGCCACGCGGUCUCUAUCGCAUGCGCUGGUCAGGCGGGCCGGGAGUGGAGCUGUGUCACAUGGGCGGUUGCACAAACGGCGCAGAAUCGGCGAAGUCAGCCUCCGCGCAGUCAUCUCUCCUGACCAUCUUUGGCAAAUUGUGCUCGGAGUCGUGGGUGCAGGUGCCUCUGUCUUCGCGGUGGACGCUGACGCUGCGCAACCAGUCUGCCGCGGUUGUGCCACUGGAGGCGGGUGCUGUUGUGGCUCCGCCAUCGGUGGCCACCGAGGGCACAGGCUUGGAGUUGGCGAACACUACUCCAUCUUCGGCCGAGGCAAGCGGCUCUUGGAUGGAGCGAGUUUGCACGCACCCGUACUUCUGGGCGACUCAGGGGCCUCGGUGGGACGCCGCUCUCGUACGUGGCUUCAAGAACGACUACAACGGCCUCCAUCACGCACGGCGGUGGUACUCGCUGGUCUCAGCGGAGCUGACGCUGAAUGGAGGAAUGCAGACGGGAAACAGCGCACGCGUGAAGAGGAGCCGCGGCGCUGCGGCACCGCCACUACAAGAGAACGACAGCUCCGGUGGCGCCAAAGAGAACAGGACGGGGAUGGAUGAAGGAAACGCGGAAGACUCGACGCCGACAGCUGGGAGCCGGUGGAGGGGCACCUCGCUGACGGCCUUCGCCAACGCUUGCAUGGUGGACAGCGUGAGCGACUACCCGCGCGCCUCUGUCGGCUUCUCCUUCGCCUCGCAGAUACCUCGUCUCGCCGUCACCCCCUUCAACGAAAUUGUCCCUCGCAAGUUCGAGUGCUCGUUGAGCUGGUUUGCCGCCUUCCAGCCCCGCGCUGGCGAGGCAGCGAGCGGCAAAGGCGUGAAUGGAAGCGCCGGGUUUGGGUGGGGGCUGCAAAGCGGGCUCUCGAGUGCUGACUCCUCCGCCGCUGAGCCCGCAACGGCAGCGGGCGGCAUGCCGUUCCUGCGUGUGUCGCCGGUGGAGACGUUCCAGCACCUGAGGUGCGGGCUGACCUGGCGUUUUGACGACUGAGAACGCCCACAGCGGCAGAAGGGCAGUACCGAGCAGGGGGAUAGCAGGGGGGGGAGGUGCGUGUGUGCGCGCGUCGCGGUCACAGGCACCGGAUCAUAGGAGACAAAACGAAUGAGAGCACAGGGUGCAGCAGCAACGUAACGUGCGCGCGUGCGAGCGUGUCAUGACACGGCACGAGUUUGACUUCUCCUUGUUUCCCAUCCUUAGCAAGGGAGGCGAGAGGCGCGACUCCCAUGAUGUUGUAGCACUAUGGCGCGGCACAGCUCACGCAAAUACCUUAUCCCUCUGUGCACCGCCGUCUCCGACUUUCCCUCCAGAACUUCUCGUGUGUGUGGGCGCAUCUUUAUCACCCAUCCUCCUCCCCGCCUCCUCACGUGGUGCUCCCUGCACCACUUACCUUGCCCUCAAACACCAAG